rnacentral:lncRNA from 1 species
AAAUGGUUUAGCACAUUUAAUCAAUAACCUUUCUGAAACAUAUAAGAUGUUUCAGAAAUAAUGGCUGUCAAACUUUUCUCCUAUCAGUAAGCAUAAUAGAUGGAAUGCAAACACUGUCCUGAAGCAUAUCAGAGUUACACACAGUAACCCUACCUAUAACGCUGCUACUUUGCUACUUUGUAUUCCAUACAAGAAAGCAUAUCAAUGUUGAAAUGAGUAAAAGCAACGUUAAUUAUCGAGUCUAAGCUGCCUUUCAUUGUACUAGUCAUUACAAUGAAAUUGUACAUUGAAUUAUACUAAUUACAUUCAUAUUUAAUUUGGGGGUAGACCCGGUAGAAAUGCAAUUAGGACAAUCUACUGAGAUGGGUUCAAUACCAAGAUAAUACUGAAUCUACUGAAUUUAGAAUUACUCUAAUAAUAACAUAAACUUAAACAAGCUUAUUACCAGAUACUUUUGCCCUAGCCAUGAUGGAGCAACUGGCACCACACAGCCCUCUCACUAUAAACAACCACAAAACUAGGUAAAGUACAUAAAAUAGACGCUGGACAACAGUCAGAGAGGGCUUUAACUCCUGAAAGAAGGGAAACAAACAAGGGGUUUUACAUAUACAUACAAAAAUUUCAUCGAUGAAUUAUCUCAAACAUUUAAAGAGGAAAUAAUACUAAUCCUACACAACGCUUUUUAGAAAAUAGAAGGGAAAUGGAGGAAACAUUUACAAACUUGUUUUAUGCGACCAGAGUUACUCAUAUCAAAACCAAAAGACAUUAAAACACCCCCCCCCAAACUGCUGACCAAUAUUAUCAAGAACACAGAUAUGGGCGUUCACCUUGUGGUGCAAUGGGAUUGGAGGCAUCUUGGGAGUGUUGGGACAUAGGUUUGAUCCCCGGCCCAGAAAAGUGGGUUAAGGAUCUAGUGGUGCCACAGCUAUGGCUUAGGUUGCAACUGAGACUCGGAUCUGAUCCCUGGCCCAAGAACUUCAUAUGCCACGGGGUGGCCAAAGAAGAAAAGGAAAAAAAAAAAAGAACAUCGAUAUAAAAGUCCUUAACAAAAUUUUAGCAAAUUGAGCCCAGGAACAGAGAAAAAUAAUAAUUAUCAUGAUCAAAUGAUGUUUAUUCCAGGAACCCAAUGUUAGUUUAACAUUUGAAUACAAAUUGUUACAAUUUACAGAAUAAAAAAGAAAAAUCAUGUGAUCAUCUCUAUAGAUGUAGGAACAGCAAUGCAUGAUCCGAGCUGCAUCUGUGACCUACACCACAGCUCAUGGCAAUGCCAGAUCCUUAACCCACCAAGCAAGGCCAGGGAUCGAACCAGCAUCCUUAUGGAUACUAGUCGGAUUCGUUAACCGCUGAGCCACGUUGGGAACUCUUCCCCUAAGAUUAAGAUCAGGACAAAUAUGUCCACUUUCAUCCCUCCUAGUAGAGGUCUCCAACAGUGUAAUAAGACAAGAAAAAGAAACAAAAGGCAUAAAACUGCAAAGAAAGGAGUAAAAGUAUCUUUGCAGUGACACUAUCAUAUUUAUAGAAAAUCUUAGACAACCAAAGAAGUUCAAUAAGGAGAGAAAAUGUUUCCAUCGAAUGGUGCUAAAACAACUGGCUAUCUAUGUAGGAAAAAAAUUAAUUGCAACACAUCUCUCUCUCACACACACACAUACACACACAUACCCUAGAAAAGCCUGCUUGCUGGCUCUAGCCAAAGGAUCAAAACGGACAGCCUUGAGUCUCAGGCUCCAAUUGUCCAAUCCCCCCCCCCUUUUUUUUUUUGUAUGCUAUGAGGAAUAAGUCACCCUAUUGGCUUAAACUUCAAUGAGGUUUAACUAAGAGCCCUAAUUCAACUUAAAAAAAAAUUUUUUUUUUUUUCUGAAAGAAAAACUCUACUUUCUUAUCUCAACUUCCUAUACUUCCUGGCUUCUCACUACUUAAUUCCUCUCUUUUCUUUGUGUUGCCAUGCUUGCUUUGCUUCUUUCAGUGCCUGUAUCCUAUAUUGCAUUUCCUUAACAAUGCUUUUUGUGGAAAUCAAUUUAUUGAGCUAUAAUUUGCCUCAGUGUGCAUUCAUUUUAAAGGUAUAACCUGACAAGUUCUGAUGGAUGCAUAUACCAGUGAAACUAUAACUCCAAUCAAUAUAUAGAAUAUUUUCUCCUCAAAGAUUUUAUUUUCUCUCUUGGCAAUCCAUCUCUCAGGCCCAAGUUUUUUUUUUUUUUUUUUUUUUUUUUUUUUCCUAUUUUUNGUCUAGCUUUUUUUCACUCAGCAUAAUGGUUCUGCAUGUAUGACACAUUUAUCUGUAGUCCAUUCCUUUUUAUUGCUGAGUAGUCUUCCACUGUACAGAUAUAAGCUGCCUUUUGUUUAUCCAUCCACCAAGUGAAAGGCAUUUGGAGUGUAUCCUGUCUGGGCUAUUACUGUGAAUGAAACUGCAAUUGAUAGGGAUAGAGUUGCUACAGGUGGUUGCAGAAGUCUCAAUAGGGGAUUAUUGAUAAAGAGGGAAACCUAGGAGAUGUUGGAAGAACACUGUAAGUUUAAGAAGACCAUUAAGAAAAGGCAGGCCUGCUUANACUAGUGGAGGUGCAAGAAUCGCCUCAGGUCAUUGGGUGGGGGAUGGGAUAAGGCCUGCAUUCGGAUUCAGACCAAGGGCAAGAGUUUGAAGCUUCCUGUCAGCUGAUUUGAAUACACACCUUACCUGAUACUAAGGAGGAGCUACUACUCCCAGAAAGGAAGAGGCAGGCCUUUCCAACCCCAUGACUCUUGGAUGAUAAAACUGUGGCCCACAGCAUCCUGGGGCAGAGCUUCCUUGCCUGCCCGCUUGCAUCUCUUACAAGUAUCCUAUCCUAAUAAAUCUGUUCCUUGCCUAUCACUUUGUCUCUCGCUGAAUUCCUUCUGCACGGAGGCAUAAAGAAACUGAGCCUUGGUGAGUUCAGGUACAGGGUAACUCGAAUUUAAAAUUGUGGGUUCAAGUCCCAAUCUGUGUUCUGGCUGGGUUCAGGCCGUUAGUGCUGUCAGUUUCACAAUGACUAUUCAUGGAAAAAGAAAUGAUGACAAAGAAGUGUAUUUACGGACAGAAAAAAAAAUGUUCAUGACCAAUCACAAAUGAAAAAAAUAGGUUACAGAACAGUUUAUAUAAUACAGAUUCAAUUUUGUAAAGAAGACAUUUGCAAAUUAGUAAAUACUUAGGGGAAAAAAAAGACCAAAAUGUUAAUGAUGGUUAUCGCUGGGUGUUGUGAUUACGUGAUCUUAGUUAAAAAACAAAGUGGGCAAAAGACUGGAACAGGCACUUCAGAAAGGAGGAUAUACCAGUAAGCACAUAAAAACCCAUCCUUAGUUAUCAAGAAAAUGCAAAUGCUAAUGAAAGUCAGAGGCUCAGUGGUUAAUGAAUCUAACUAGCAUCCAUGAGGAGGAAGGUUCUAUCCUUGGCCUUGCUCAGUGGGUUAAGGAUCCGGUGUUGUCGUGAGCUGUGGUGUAGGUCACAGAUGUGGCUCAGAUCCCGAGUUGCUGUGGCUGUGGUGUAGGCUGGCAACUGCAGCUCCGAUUUGACCCCUAGCCUGGGAACCUCCAUAUGCUUACGGUGUGGCCCUAAAAAACAAAAACAAAACAAAAAAAACAAAAACAAAAAAAAAAAAAGGGAAAGAAAAGAAAGAAAGCAAGAGAACCUCACAUGUCAUGAGGGGAAUGAAAACUGUACAACCACUUCGAAAAUCGGUCUGGCAGUUUCUGGUAAAGUUAAACAUGCACCUACCCUCUGACCCAGCAAACACACGUCUAGGUAUUUGCCCAGGAGAAAUGAAAACACUGGACAUGGAAAAGACUUGUGCAUAAAUGUUCAUAGCAGUUUUCUUCCUAAAAUAGAAUGUUCCAGGAAGAAAAUCAGAUUUCAAAAUAUUUUACCUAGUUCUUUUUUCUUGUCCCAGCCUUGGCUUCAACAACUAGAAUAGCCACAAACUAGAAGCAACUCAAGUGUCCAUCAGCAGGAGAAUGAAUAAACAAAAUGGAUCCUUCCGUACAAAGGAAUACUACUCAGCCAUAAAAAAGAACAGAAAAUCACACAGAAAAUCUGAUACCCACAACACAUGGAUGGGCCUCAAUAUUGUUACACUGAAUGGAAGAAGCCAGGUACAAAGAGAUACACACCAAUUCCAUUUAUAUGAACUUCUAACAAAGGCAAAACCCAUCUAUAUCAGAAGAAAUCAGGACAGUGGUUGUCUAUGGAGGGGUAGGGUGGGCAGGGGUUGACAGAGAUAGGGCCUGAGGGAUAUUUGGGGGUGUGUGGAAGUAUUCAGUAGCAUGAUGGGGUGUGGGUUACACAGAUGUACAUGACUGCUAAAACUCAGAACUGUGUGCUGAAGAUCUGUCGUUUCACUGCAAAUGAACUAUACUUCAAUAAAAAUUGGAAAAUGUAAAAGAAACAUAAUAAAUCUUUUUGUUAAUGUAAAUUUUAGGCAUAUAAAACACUAGAAAGUAUACUUUUAUGAGUACUUCAUCAUAUCUGAGUAAUGAUUUGCUAACUUCUAUACUGGCAAUAAAUUGCUUUCAGACAUGUUUCAACUGAUCCCCACACGCUCAUGAGCCAAGAAUGACUGUGUCUUGACUUUGUAAAAAAGGCUUUCCCCCCCUUGUCAGGUCCGAGGGUUUGUGAAGUGGUAGAAUUUUCUAGCCUUCUCAAGGGUUUCAAUGACACAUAUAGAAAAAAUAUGGUCAUUUUCAAAUAUCAACAGAGCUUCAUUUUUAAGGUUUUCUUUUAAACAAGUCAAUAUUGCCUUUGGGAGGAAACAACCAAGAUUGAUUGAUUGAUUGAUUUGAAAAUAAGCUCAAUAUUUUUUCUGUUUAACCAACUGAAGAACUACAGUGGUAAUUUAUGCCAUACUUUCUCUCCAAUCAUGUUUUGGAAGAUCAAUUAAUGGAAGGAACGAGGUGGAUGGGGUUAAGACGCUGUUUUUACCAAUUGUUUUUUGGCCACGCCCAUGGCAUUUGGAGUUUCCCUGGCCAGGGACUGAACCCAUGCCACAGCAGUGUCCCAAGCUGCUGCUGUGGUGACAACACUGGGUCCUUAACCGGCUGAGCCACAAGAGAACUCCCAUCAAUUAUUUGCAAUGUGAUCUUGAAUAAAUUUCUUAAUCUUUCUGAUGCACAGUCUCCCCAUCAAUAGGCAUAAGAAUACGUACCUUAAAGUGCCAUCAUGAACAUUAAAUACUGAGAAAAUGCCUUGACAUCGGCCAGGAGCUCAGUAAAUAUUAGCACCUUCCCUGAACUUCUUAGCAGAGGACAAGAGAGAAGAACAACCUUCCUCCAUAUUUCAGAGAUAGUUAGUUUGAAAUCUGGACCUUUGGGGAAUUUAUAAAGACCAGGUGGAACAGUUUUACAGGUGGGGUGGCUAUGGGUGGAUCAGGGUAGAUAGAGGUGGGAGGGCUGGACGAUCCUUACCUUUUAUCUCCCUAGAACAUCAGAACGUUUUACAGCAGUAAUGAUGAAAAUAGUCUUUGCCAUUUCUGUUCAUCUCCAUGAAAGAGGACUUGGAAAGCCAUUUCUUGCUGUUUUUUGUUUUUUUACCGCUCACUGGGAACCGCUGAUCUGGGACUAAGCUGCUGUGUGGGAGGCCAGCUUCCCCAUGAGCUGGUGGUGGGGACACGUCAGCAGAGGCUGCUGAGUUGACUCCCAGACCCUGAGCGAUGCUCCCAGUGUGUGGCAGGGAGGGCAGGCAUAUAGAGGUCUCUCUGCC